rnacentral:lncRNA from 1 species
GUUCAUCUGGAUUCCGUCAGUAAUAGGGUGAGAGGGAGGUCAGGCCUACAGGCCAGAAAAAUCCUAUGUAAAUUUUAGCCAAGCUGAGAGCAAUGUUAAGGCCUCUUGGUCAUACCUUACUAAGGGAUCAUUUUAAUAUAUUGUUUAAAAUACUCAAGGAAUUCUGUGCCAUCUAAGUAGUAGAAGAUUUUUAUUCAUUUAUUCUAGGGAAAACAUUAGCUGAUUGUGCACACUAUGUAUGCGGGAGGAGUAGGUUGCUUGAAUGGAGUCACAACGUCAUGGUAAUCUGCUCCUGGCAGAAACUGCGAUGGAUUUGGUUAGUUUUGACUGAGUUUCUGAAUCAGAGGUAG